GCAGGGGUAGCCAAGCGGCCAACGGCGCAGGUUCUUUGGAUGUGAGACUUAAGAUAGCCGUUUGGGAUAUCCUGUCCCUUAGUGGGUUCGAGAGUUCAAAUCUCUCCCCCUGCA
rnacentral:tRNA from 1 species